UUCACAUAAAAGCCAAAAGAAUCAAAUGUUAAAGAGCAGUGGUUGUCUGUGGUAAAUUUGUGAACUGACAAAAGAUUUUGAGAGGCUUUUGGCACAACUAAAAUGUUAUUGAGUGUAAAGGAUUGAUCAUUCACAUGUUUUAAUGAGUGGCCAAUAUGAGAGAUGUGCAUACCUUGGCUUGAAAUCAUCUCAGCACCAUCAUAACGAGAAGAAUUAGUCAGAUUAGCAUCAUUAGAAGUGAUGUGAUUGUUAGCUCCACUUUCUACAUAUCAGGGAGAAUCAUCAAAAAUAUCUGCAGCUGCUAACAUUGCGUGAAGGUUUGCUGGUGGAGGUUUAAGUUGCUUUGUAUUUUAAGUUGAUUCACCUUCUAGAUUUAAGAGAUUAAUUCUGUAAUAGAAAAGGCCUGUUCCUUAUUUAAUUUUAAGAGAUCAAUUCUAUGAUAGAAAAGGCCUGAUCUUUAUUUAAUUUUAAGAGAUCAGAGAAGGCCUCAUUUUGAGGUUGAUUCAUCAUUGUAUUUUUAGUUAAUUCACCUUCUAGAUUUAAGAGAUUAAUCCUGUAAUAGAGAAGGCAUGAUUUCUAUUUGUUUUAUUACUUUCUGUAGAGAAAUCAACCACUGGAUAGAUUGAUUUCUAGGUUGAUUCAUAUUCCUCUCCGGAGAAAUCAAUAGAGUCAAUUUUGAUUUUUUAAGUUUAUAUGUCUUCUACUUUUAAGAGAUCCAUUCUAUGAUAGAAAAGGCCUGAUUUUGAGGUUGAUUCAUCAUCUUCGGUGGAAAAAAUAACAGAGAAGCUUUGAUUUUUAGGUUGAUUCAUCUUCUAGUUUUGAGAGAUCAAUUGUAUAAUAUGAAAGGCCUGAUUUUUAUGUUGAUUUUGAGAAAUCAACAACAGAAUUCAGAGUAUUGAUUUUAUGGAUUGAAUCUAGUCUUGACUCAUAUUUUGCUUCCUUCUCAUAGAUCUUUAUCCCCUUCAUUUUCAUUCAUAUUGUUUGCUUGAUUGAAAUCCCCCCUUUCUCUCCGUUUGCCGUUUUUCUAUCCUGUGUUUGUAAUUCAAUUGAUUUCAUGGUCAUUCUAUUUACUGCUGCUCGAUUUUCAGAUGGGUUCUUGUAGGGGUCAAUCUCGACCUGAGCAACUCGCCAACUCCAAAUGGUGGACAGAUGGAGAGUUAAGAGGAUGAUGUGAUUUGUCCUAAAGGAACAAACUCUGGGAAAUGUAAUUCAUUGUUCUCAAGACAGCUGAGAUUAUUCUUACAUUGUUGAUGAAUGUUAUCAAAUAUGUUAGAGAGGGAAAUGUUAUGCAGUGUUCUUCGUAGGUUUCCACAUAUGCGUCAGGUCACAAAUGUGCUGGAAAAUUGCUAACAGAAUGGGGAAAGUUUUCUUUGAACUCCAUGUGCAUCUCGUUAUGUGAAACUAACAUGUGAAGUUAAGUCUGAAUGAAGUAAGGCCACCGCCAGAGUCAUGAGGAAAUGAAGUAGACAUACAGACAGCAUGGGAAAGUUCAAGUUCACUGAUGCAAUUAAAUUAGACUGGCAGUGACUACAUAUGAGGUUGAUUGGAGGUUAGUAUUUUGGAAUAUUGAUAGAGAUAAAGAUGAAAAACCUUCAAUGGGCAAUAUUAGUAAUAACAAUUCUAACUUGGCGGAGGUAAUCCAGAAACUUAUGGUGAGCUUAAGCAGAUGAACAAGGAUGAAGAAUCUGCAGCAGAGGAGAUGAAACUUGACGUCGCAGAUGGAAACAAUGUUGUUGAAAACAAUGCAGUAGAAGAAACUAUUACAGCUGAAACCAAGCUUAAAAAGGUAGCUGACAGUGGAGGCAAUUGGUUCGCAAAAGUUUGUACCAGAGGAAAGUGGUAGCUAGAAGAGAACCGAGGUGGCAGCAGUGGCUGUUGGUUGAGAUGAGGGUUAUAAUUCACCAUCUAGCCCGCCUCAAAUUGGUUCAAGAUUUUGAAGCAAUUGCUUUUUGAUAAGUAAAUGUUCCAGGAAGCGUGAUAGUAUACCACAGCUAAAUCGAGAGAGGUUGAUGAACUUUGGGGUAGAUUAACAGAAUUAUCCUACAGACACAACUCCCUGUACACUAACAGUUCUUAACAUACUAAGAUUGGUCAAAUUAUUACUCAAUGUCAAUGAAAGUAAUCAAGGAGUUGGGAUGGAAUUUCUUUUGCAGGUUUGUUCUGCCUUAUUUUAGAUAGUUGAAGUUCACCAUAUUUCUUGGAGGUCACACUAGGAGAAGCACUCAUCAUCAUAUGGUCUAUAAACUGGGGAUCGAUAUGAUGGAGUUUAUUGUAUAGAAAAUUGUUGGCGAGAAAUAGGGAUUCAGUGAUGAGCACGGGGACUGUCCGAGACCUCUGCCAGCUGUUAAGAGCUUAGCGGGGCAACUGAUGGAAAAAGAAAGUUGCUGGAAAUGGGAAAAAUCUGCAAGCCCUUUAUUAAUAGAAUGUUGGUGAGCUUCUUUCCCGGUUCUUGUUGCAGUGUUAAAACGUCAACUUUGUCUGGAAGUGUUGACUCUUUCCCAGACAACUCCCUGUGCUCACAACUACAAGCUAUGCUUAAAGAAUGUGUUUUCUGGUUAAUAUAGAGCUGAUGGUUGUCAUAAAAGAUCUCCAACGUGAGGCCAAGGAGGAAGAUGUGAAGGCUUAAGUGAAGAGUUAGAUAAGCCCGAAGAUAUGAUUGGAGUCGCUGAAGAAGGGCGUGACAGUUCUGACUUGGCGAAAGGUGUUCCAGAAACUUAUGGUGAGCUUAAGCAGAUUAACAGGCGCUUGAAGAUGGAAGCAUCAGAUUUAGGUGAGCUUAAGCAGAUUAACAGGCGCUUGAAGACUGAAGCAUCAGAUUCGUCCGUGAACGUAGAUGGGUCUGAGUUAAGAAUAAUGAAUCUGAGUGGAGGAGAUGAAACUUGAUGUUGCAGUUGGAAGCAAUGUUUGUGGGAAAUAAUGCAGUACAAGAAACUAUUACACCUGAAACUAAAGAUAGCUGACAGUGGAGGCAAUUGGUUCCAAAAAUUCUGUACCAAAGAAAAGAGGGGGCAGCAUAGGCAAUUGUUGUAAUGGAUAAUGCAUAUAAUUGUUAAUGUGCUGCGAAUGGUUAAGGAGCAAAGGAACAUUUUUCUGACUCCAUAUUGUGUGAAGAUAUUUCUUAACUGAAAAAGACAGCCAGACUUGUGACCUAAUGCAGCAAAGUAGAGUUAUACUCUUAUCUUCACAGUGUAUAGAAUACAAAACCACACUAGUCGCUUUUGUAUUCAUUUUGGUCAUAGGUGGUCACUACAGUUACUACUCAUUUGGUUAACCUGUUAGCACGAGUGCAUCACUGUCACAUGCAUAGGAAUCCCCUUGCAAAUUUGGUUGGAGACUGGACUACCCCUUCACCAGCACCUUGCAUGUGAUUUUAUUGUGGCGGUUUGGUUUUUACCUUUUACUUAAUUUUUUGUAGCUUUAACACUUGCUUCUGCAUUGAUAAUUCUAGCUUCAGUUCGGCCUUGAGAAAACAGAAAGGGAUGACACCAAAAUGCUUGCCUCAGCUGUAUACCUUCAAGUUAGCACUAUCAGCCAUGCCCAUAUCUUCUUGAUGCUUAACGUAGUUGGUCUUUAGUCGAGCGUCCAUGGUUACUGCUUGUAGCAGCUUUCUUGGUUGCUCAGCUGGAAAGAAACUAGAUAAGACGAGAUAGAAAAGACAUCAGAGUUGGGACCAAAAGAGAGAGAUAAGACGAGGUAAAACUUUGUAGUUUAGAAUUACAAAAUCCGAGAUCCAUGGUUAGAUAAACAUCCAAAUAAAAGUGAAGUUUUUAACAGUAAAAGGAAGAUAAAAAGACCGCUGCAGAUGAAACUCCGGUAAUAGUGAUCUUCAUUUCGUUGUCCAUUUCUUCUACAGCACUUCUUAACCCCUGCAUGCAUAGAAACAAACAUUGUUUCAGUUAAUGGUUCAAAAACAGCAACUCAAUGGGCAAUAUUUGUAACGACAUCUCGUUUUCUUUGAACUCAUGAGGAAUGAAAUAUGGCCACUGCCAAAGUCAUGAAGAAAUCAAGUAGAGUUAAGAUUGAUGUCUGACAAGGUCUGCUGGCAAAACACACAGGUUGAGACGAGAGCAUGUGAAUCUAACAUGUGAAGUCCAAGUGCAGCACAUUAUGUGAAUUUAACAUGUGAAGUUAAUUCUGAAUGAAGUUAAUAUGGCCAUGAAGAAAUGAAGUAGAGACUGGCAGUGGUAGUGACUGCAUAUAAGGUUCAUUAAAGGCAUGAAGAAGCUAUUACAGCUGAAACCAAGCUUAAAAAGAUAGCUGACAGUAGAGGCAAUUACUUCUAAAGCUAGGAUAACAGAUAAAUUACUUCUAAAGCUGUGCUGACAGAUCAAUUACUUCUAAAGCUAGGCUAACAGAUUAAUUACUUCUAAAGCUCACUGGUGGUUGGAACUCAAUUAGACUGGCAGUGGCAGCGACUGCAUAAAAGGUUCAUUGAAGGAUAGUGUUUUGGGAGAUUUGGUGGAUAUGGAAGAAAAAUCUUCAAUAAACCAGCAUGAUUGUGAGCUUACGCAGAUGAAAGGGGGGAGAUGAAACUAUGUUGCAGAAGUAAAACAUUGUUCUGGUAAAUAACAAUAAAGCAGGAGAAGCUAUUACAGCUGAAACCAAGCUUAAAAAGAUAGCUGACAGUGCAGGCAACCAAAAUCAUGCACCAAACAAAACAAAAAGCUAGGAAAAGAAAACCAAAGGAGGCAGCAGUGGGUGUUGUUGUAAACAAGUAAGGUAAUAUGAUUCCUCAUGUAAAUUUUCUAGCAAGUGUGGUUGUAUGUAUAUACCAGAACAAGAAUAGUAUGAAAUAAAAUUAAAAUUUGAAAA